UGGGGAGCGGCCCCCCGGGCGG
rnacentral:miRNA from 1 species